rnacentral:rRNA from 1 species
CGCACAUUGCGCUCCUUGGUAUUCCUUGGAGCAUGCCUGUUUGAGUAUCAUGAAAUAUUCAAAUCAAAAUCUUUUGUUAACUCGAUUGGUUUUUGCUUUGGUCUUGGAGGUUUUUUGCAGCUUCACACCUGCUACCUCUUUGUGCAUUAGCUGGAUCUCUAGUGUUAUGCUUGGUUCCACUCGGCGUGAUAAAUUAUCUAGUCGCUGAGGACACUGUAAAAAGUGGCCAAGGUAAAUGUCAGAUGAACUGCUUCCAAUAGUCCAUUGACUUGGACAAAUAUCUUUUAUGAUCUGAUCUCAAAUCAGGUAGGACUACCCGCUGAACUUAA